rnacentral:rRNA from 1 species
GAUGAACGCUGGCGGCGUGCUUAACACAUGCAAGUCGAACGGUGAACACGGAGCUUGCUCUGUGGGAUCAGUGGCGAACGGGUGAGUAACACGUGAGCAACCUGCCCCUGACUCUGGGAUAAGCGCUGGAAACGGCGUCUAAUACUGGAUAUGUGACGUGACCGCAUGGUCUGCGUUUGGAAAGAUUUUUCGGUUGGGGAUGGGCUCGCGGCCUAUCAGCUUGUUGGUGAGGUAAUGGCUCACCAAGGCGUCGACGGGUAGCCGGCCUGAGAGGGUGACCGGCCACACUGGGAUUGAGACACGGCCCAGACUCCUACGGGAGGCAGCAGUGGGGAAUAUUGCACAAUGGGCGAAAGCCUGAUGCAGCAACGCCGCGUGAGGGAUGACGGCCUUCGGGUUGUAAACCUUUUUUAGCGGGGAAGAAGCGAAAGUGACGGUACCUGCAGAAAAAGCGCCGGCUAACUACGUG